GUACCUAGAGACCAGGCUGUGAUUGUAAUAACCAGUGUGGUUUGAAUGUUAGAAUUUGAACCAUAGGGGUUUAGAAAUAGGACAAGACAUCUCGAAAGUGCUUGGAUAAGCAGCUGGAAGCUCAGCAUUAUAAAAGGUGCUCGUUUAUGUCCGUCGUUUCGCCGGUAAAUUGAUUGUGCGAAGAAGAAUAGGAAAUAUGCUCCGGCGAUCGUCCAAAUACUUGCAAAGAGGUAGACGUGUAUUGGCCAAAAUACCCCCCAAGUUGACUUCGCCUCUGGCCAAUUUGGGCCUGGCUCGGGCCAAGAAGGUUUUGCCAUUUUGUCUUCUGAGCUAGCCUUCUUAGCUACAAAUGAAAAAUAUAAAAGAGAAUGAUUAAGUGGAGGCAAUUGCC